rnacentral:rRNA from 1 species
UACGAGGGGUGCAAGCGUUGUUCGGAAUUACUGGGCGUAAAGCGUGAGGAGGCGGUUCGCUAAGUCUGAUGUGAAAGCCCUGGGCUUAACCCAGGAACUGCAUCGGAAACUGGUGGACUAGAGUUCGGGAGAGGGUCGUGGAAUUCUUGGUGUAGAGGUGAAAUUCGUAGAUAUCAAGAGGAACACCGGUGGCGAAGGCGGCGACCUGGACCGACACUGACGCUAAUACACGAAAGCACGGGGAGCAAACAGGAUUAGAAACCCGUGUAGU